rnacentral:tRNA from 1 species
GUAGAUAUAGUUUAACAAAAACAUUAGAUUGUGAUUCUAAAAAUAGGGAAUAAAACACCCUUAUCUACA